GGGGAGUUCCAACUGAGUACAAACUAGCAGAUCAACUAGUGGUUUUGAAAGCUUCCCAAUAUUAAGUGCCAUUUUUCCUGUGACCCCAAAUAAGAAUGUUGAUAGAACAAACUACAUCCACUACAACGUGUUGAAAUUGACCAAUUACACUGAGGACGGAUUUAAUGUAAUUCAUGAGCAACUGGUAGCCACAUCCUUAAUGGCCUUCCAAAA